GUGAAUUCGAGGGCUUCUACGCCCAAGGGCAGGAUUGUACCAGGCCGCUGGAGACCCAGAGGCUGAGGCGAUUGCGAGGCGCGACCUGAGACCCCAGGCGACGUCGAAGACGCACGCUCCGGCGAUCUUUCAGCCGACUCAACCACCGGGAUCUUCGGCCGUCCAGAGCAAUACAAGCGCGGCGUUGGCGAUGCUCCGAUCGGCCACUGGGGUCGCGCUCCGGCGGCAGGCGCCGGCCCGUCGGUUCUCCGGCAGCAGCGGAUGCAGCCGCACCACCAGGGAGAGGGCCUGAGCUGCUGUUUGGCUGCAUCGCCCUUACCAUGAUGGUCACAUACAAGUACAAUGUGACAGGGAAGGGAAUACUGGGAUACAGAUUCGACGAGGCGAGGAAGGAGCAGGAGGCCAGGGAGCGGCGGGAGGAGGCGAGGAAGAACAAAUAUUGAUAUUUCUCUCUGCUAGCUGAUCUCUUUGCACACACCCCCAAACAUAUGGGCCAUAAUAUGGCAGUUAUUACCCUGGGAACAUCGGGAAGGCCAGGGUCACAAACUGCCUAUCAUAA